rnacentral:lncRNA from 10 species
UUCUGCUAUCAUUUAUUUAUAGAUUUAUUGAUCACUUAACAUUACUAAAGUUCAAGUAACAAGGUUUCUUGCCCUCCUCUGUAUGGAGAGAUAAAGGAGAUAAGUGACAUAGGGAAAGUUUACAUUCCACAGCACUCUACCGGUGUAACAAACAGGCGUAGGCUCUUACAGAAGGCCACACAACCAUAAGGAAAACUGUCACACAUUCAUAUACCGUAUACAACUUAAAUCUGCAUAAACUCUUGAACUAAUGAUGGUGGCAGGUGCUCCAGUCAGCCUGCUAUCAUUCCGGCUGAGGGCCAGGCUGCCAGUCCCACCUGUAGGAGUGGGAACUGG